AGUGGCGGACGGGUGAGUAACGCGUGAGAAUCUGCCUUGGGGUCGGGGACAACCACUGGAAACGGUGGCUAAUACCGGAUAAGCCGAUUGGUGAAAGAUUUAUUGCCCGAAGAGGAGCUCGCGUCUGAUUAGCUAGUUGGUGAGGUAAGAGCUCACCAAGGCAGCGAUCAGUAGCUGGUCUGAGAGGACGAUCAGCCACACUGGGACUGAGACACGGCCCAGACUCCUACGGGAGGCAGCAGUGGGGAAUUUUCCGCAAUGGGCGAAAGCCUGACGGAGCAACACCGCGUGAGGGAGGAAGGCUCUUGGGUUGUAAACCUCCUUUCUCAGGGAAGAAGCUCUGACGGUACCUGAGGAAUCAGCCUCGGCUAACUCCGUGCCAGCAGCCGCGGUAAUACGGAGGAGGCAAGCGUUAUCCGGAAUUAUUGGGCGUAAAGCGUCCGCAGGUGGCGAUUCAAGUCUGCUGUCAAAGCACGGGGCUUAACUCCGUAAAGGCAGUGGAAACUGAAUAGCUAGAGUGCCGUAGGGGUAGAGGGAAUUCCCGGUGUAGCGGUGAAAUGCGUAGAGAUCGGGAAGAACAUCGGUGGCGAAAGCGCUCUACUGGACGGCAACUGACACUCAGGGACGAAAGCUAGGGGAGCGAAUGGGAUUAGAUACCCC
rnacentral:rRNA from 1 species